CGUAGGGUGCAGGCGUUAAUCGGAAUUACUGGGCGUAAAGCGUGCGCAGGCGGUUUGUUAAGACAGGUGUGAAAUCCCCGGGCUUAACCUGGGAAUUGCGCUUGUAACUGGCAAGCUAGAGUGUGGCAGAGGGGGGUGGAAUUCCACGUGUAGCAGUGAAAUGCGUAGAUAUGUGGAGGAACACCGAUGGCGAAGGCAGCCCCCUGGGUUAACACUGACGCUCAUGCACGAAAGCGUGGGGAGCAAACAGGA
rnacentral:rRNA from 1 species